rnacentral:rRNA from 1 species
CGUAACAAGGUUUCCGUAGGUGAACCUGCGGAAGGAUCAUUGUCGAACCUAUCGAUCGGACGACCCGCGAACAUGUUGUUUAACAACCUUUCGAGGGCAGAGCGGGCGUGAGCCCUCCACUCUGCUCUCGAUGGAUCGGUGGGCCUCGCGAGCCUCGCCCUUCGUCAUAUGCCCAGUCGCAUGUGCACGGGGGUGUCUCGCGGGGGGACCCUAUCGAUCCAACAACGAACCCCCGGCGUGGAAAACGCCAAGGAAAAUGCAACGAAACAACGUCAUCCUGUUGCCCCGGUCACGGGUGCGUGGGAAGGCAACGGAUAUCUAGGCUCUCGCAUCGAUGAAGAACGUAGCAAAAUGCGAUACUUGGUGUGAAUUGCAGAAUCCCGUGAAUCAUCGAGUCUUUGAACGCAAGUUGCGCCCGACGCCAUUAGGUCGAGGGCACGCCUGCCUGGGCGUCACGCACACGUCGCCCCCUCCACCCCCCCUACCAGGUUAGGGGCUCGGAGUUGGGGCGGACAUUGGCCUCCCAUGGAACAUCGCGUCCGUGGUUGGUUAAAAAUCUGUCCCGCGGCGAUGCACGCCACGACAAGCGGUGGUUUGAAACGAACCCCUUGUCCUUUCCCCUCGUCCAGAGGAGGGAGGAGGAGGAGCUCCAUGUCGUGCGCGGCGCUUCGCGUAGCGGGGCACCACGAAAGGCCCGAGAACCUCGAUCGCGACCCCAGGUCAGGCGGGAACACCCGCUGAGUUUAAGCAUAUCAAUAA